rnacentral:lncRNA from 1 species
GGCUAAAUAGUUUUUCCCUUACUCAUAAGUUUAUAUUAUUACUACAUAGUUUUUAGUAUUAUGUACUUAUGCAAUCAAGAAGUCAUAACGUAUAAAGGAGCAUUUUGGUAUAAAAAUAGUUACAGUAAUUAUUAUGACAUUGGAGUUCAACUUAGAUAAAAAAAUUAUUUGAAAUAAUAUCUAGAACAACAGGGUUGAAACUAUUUAUAUAAUAUGUCUAGACACUUGGUGGUGUACACCACCAUUGAUGUGGAUUCCAUUCAGUUAGCCAUGAGUGGCGAGGACCCUUCUUGCAUUGCCCUUCUCCCCCUUUGGCUUCAUGAUAGUGCCAAUGCUAUCAUCACCCAUCAAUGCUAACUCCUCAAAGUCUCCAUUUUUCAACUCAGGUUGCCUCCUAACCAUGGGGCUGCAAGUUCUCGCCAGCACAAUCCCUUCUCCAAAGUUGAACCUCUCAAGUGUGACGGCCAUCAACAACCACCUCUGCAACACCUUGCACCAAAUUGAAGCUGCUUUUUCUAGUAGUAGUGAGAAUGCCACUAAUGCCCUUCUAUUUCACUGUCCCCUUUCUCCACAAUUUCUUUUCGUUUCAAUUCUUUUGUUGGUAUAAAUUAUAAAAGUAAUAAAAACACAAAAUUGCCAAUUUUUCGUUCUUAAUUUCACCCAGACACAACCCUUGAUGCCAAACAUAAUCCAAAUGACCAAACUGAAGUUAAGUCUCGACAAAAUUUUGUGGCUCGAUUCAAAGCCCUAAAAUUCCCUCACCCCAAAUGCCCUAAUCCAUAUCACAAUUGACCUAGGAGAAUAUAAAGAUGCAAAUAGUGAAACCUAAAAUCAAACUUGAGAAGGAAAAUUGGAAGACAAGAAGCUUACAAAUUAACAGGAGCAGCAAAAGCAAGCCACCACCUACUCGACCUCCUCAGCAGCGGGUUUGACCUUCUCAGAAUUCCAAUUCAAGAUUCGUCUUUCACGCAUCACAAUGCAACAGGGGUUUGGGAUUUUUCCUGAGGUUUGAGUCACCAAUCACAAAUUCGACUCAGUUUAUUCCAAAAAUGGGGGAAAAAGACGGACAGGGAUACACUUUCCACUGGCCGCGAACGAUGGUGGAUUGGACGACCAUCCACUAACAGCCGUAGGAAUCCGAUACCUCACACGCACUGAACGAAUGAGUACUCCAAAUAGUCGAGACUCUGUGAAGGAAGAGAUGUGCACACUCGAAGAAGGGUUUCAAAGAAGAAAGGUUCUAAAUGCUUCUAAAGGUGUCUCUGGCUUCUGUCACUCGAAAGGGAGAAUCACCCUCCUAAAUGUUUAAUUUUAUUUCCUCACCCUUUACCGGCGGCCCAAAUCCUUCGAUAAUGACCUCUAACCAUAACAAAUCCUUUACCGC